GAUGAACGCUGGCGGCGUGCCUAAUACAUGCAAGUCGAGCGAACAGACGCGGAGCUUGCUCCUCUGACGUUAGCGGCGGACGGGUGAGUAACACGUGGAUACCCUACCUAUAAGACUGGGAUAACUUCGGGACACCGGAGCUAAUACCGGAUAAUAUAUUGCACCGCAUGGUUCAAUAGUGAAAGUCGGUUUUUCUGUCACUUCUCGAUGGAUCCGCGCCGCAUUAGCUAGUUGGUACGGUAACGGCUUACCAAGGCAACGAUGCGUAGCCGACCUGAGAGGGGGAUCGGCCACACGGGAACGGAGACACGGUCCAGACUCCUACGGGAGGCAGCAGUAGGGUACCGGCGGCAGUGGGCGAAAGCAUGACGGAGCAAGGCCGCGUGAGAGAUGAAGGCGUUCGGAGCGUAAUGCUCUGUUAUGAGUGAAGAACAAAUGUGUAAUUAACUAUGGACGUCGUGACGGUACCGAAUCAGAAAGCCACGGCUAACUACGUG
rnacentral:rRNA from 1 species